UACGAAGGGGGCUAGCGUUGCUCGGAAUCACUGGGCGUAAAGCGCACGUAGGCGGGUCCUUAAGUCAGGGGUGAAAUCCUGGAGCUCAACUCCAGAACUGCCUUUGAUACUGAGGAUCUUGAGUUCGGGAGAGGUGAGUGGAACUGCGAGUGUAGAGGUGAAAUUCGUAGAUAUUCGCAAGAACACCAGUGGCGAAGGCGGCUCUCUGGGCCGAUACUGACGCUGAGGAGCGAAAGCGUGGGGAGCGAACAGG
rnacentral:rRNA from 1 species